CAGCCGCCACGGUAAUACAGAGGGUGCGAGCGUUAAUCGGAUUUACUGGGCGUAAAGCGUGUGUAGGCGGCUUCUUAAGUCGGAUGUGAAAUCCCUGAGCUUAACUUAGGAAUUGCAUUCGAUACUGGGAAGCUAGAGUAUGGGAGAGGAUGGUAGAAUUCCAGGUGUAGCGGUGAAAUGCGUAGAGAUCUGGAGGAAUACCGAUGGCGAAGGCAGCCAUCUGGCCUAAUACUGACGCUGAGGUACGAAAGCAUGGGGAGCAAACAGGAUUAGAUACCCCAGUAGUCCCUGUCUCUUAUAC
rnacentral:rRNA from 1 species